CUUUUCGGCAGGCCACCAGUUGAAAAAGGGAUAUAUCCGUCCACAUGAACCAUCUUAUUGUCCGAGAAUGGUCUAACAAGUCUGAUAUCCGUCGCCAGAACGUAUCUCCUUCUCCCUGGGCUCAGUUUACGACGCAGUGCGAUCGGAUGAGAGACACGCGUUGCGGAUCCGAAUGGAGAAAAUGCUGCUGGUAUCAAAAACCGUUUGAACGAGAAAGGACUGUUUACGUUAGAAAAGUAGGAAUCACGAAUGACGCGUGCGCGCAUGCGUGAACCACCGCGCCUUACAAUCGAUACGUUCUGACGUAGCUACUUUCGCAAUCCUAUGCGACCGGGAUUAAAAAAGCAAAACGAGUAUUCAAGGAUUUGAAUGCCGAAGACGACGAAACACUUCGAUUUAACUUGCAUUAGAGCACAAUUAAUUUUAGUUAACAUACAGUUCAAUAUACGCUCGAUACGUUCAUUAAGUAUAUUGCGGUUUAUUCCUAGCAAGGAUAAUAAUGAUAAAGUUUAUCGCUCCUACUCUGAUGAACUAUUAUAGUAAUCAAUCAUUAUGUGGCAAUAAUUAUUGAAGAAAGCAGAAUUACUCGCUCAGAGAAUAUUGAAGACACUGACAGGUCUUGAUGAAUUUAUCGCAUGGUGAAAUUUCUACAGAAACUGUUCCAUCAAAAGUCAGUUUUGCGACUAAUGGAAGUCGUUCCAAAGAUCAAGCACAUUAUGAAACUUACCGGAUAGGAGCGGCAACUUCUGAAGCUCGCGAUUUUUCGAUAUGUUAAAUCUUGAGCUACUUUGCCGUUUGUCUUUCUUAAUCACAGGGCCCCCGGGUUGGUAUUUGAUUUUGUUAAUCAACGUUGGUGGUG